rnacentral:misc_RNA from 1 species
GAUGAAGAACGUAGCGAAAUGCGAUAAGUAAUGCGAAUUGCAGAUUUCAGUGAGUCAUCGAAUCUUUGAACGCACAUUGCGCCCGCCAGUAUUCUGGCGGGCAUGCCUGUUCGAGCGUCAUUUCAACCAUCAAGCCCCCGGGCUUGCGUUGGGGCCCUGCGGCUGCCGCAGGCCCCGAAAAGCAGUGGCGGGCUCGCUGUCACACCGAGCGCAGUAGCGAUUCUCGCUCCGGGCGUCGGCGGCGGGCACCGGCCGAGAAACCCCCCCACAUCCACAAGGUUGACCUCGGAUCAGGUAGGAAUACCCGCUGAACUUAAGCAUAUCAAUAAGCGGAGGA